rnacentral:rRNA from 1 species
CCCUUAGAUGUUCUGGGCUGCACGCGCGCUACACUGAAGCGUUCAACGAGUAUUCACCUUGCCCGGGAGGGUUGGGUAAUCUUUUGAAAACGCUUCGUGAUGGGGAUAGAUUAUUGCAAUUAUUAAUCUUCAACGAGGAAUUCCUAGUAAGCGCGAGUCAUCAGCUCGUGCUGAUUACGUCCCUGCCCUUUGUACACACCGCCCGUCGCUCCUACCGAUUGAGUGGUCCGGUGAAUAAUUCGGACUGCAGCACUGCUUGGUCUCCAGGCUUUGCAGCGGAAAGUUUAGUGAACCUUAUCACUUAGAGGAAGGAGAAGUCGUAACA